ACUGACUUUGUUAUAAACGAACGGAGCACGCACCUGCUACGUACCCGGUCACACGCAGUAGCGCAAUUACCAUUGCUGCUCCGUGCCAUUUUUCCUGCCUCUCCUCUGUGGUGACCUGGUCUCAAACUCUCAAUCCCCUGGCCAAAUUCCCGACCCACCGCCACCGGAUCGAGCAAUCGAUCGAUGGUAAUGGCGGAGCAAGCGGCGGCCACGGCUUUGGCGAACGUGGUCAUGGGGAGGGUCGACAGGGAGCUGGGUGCCAAGUACAGGAUGUGGAAGAGCAUCCAGAGGGAGAGCGCGUCUCUGCGGACGGACCUCGUCAUGCUGACGGCGGCCAUGGACGACCAGCAGAGCAGGAUUGGCCCCCGCCGCACCACGGCCGUCGAGAGGGCCGUCGGCGAGGAGAUGCGCGAGCUGACCCAUGACAUCGAGGACUGCAUCGAGCGCUUCCUGCACCGCGUCACCUUCCGGGCCGGGGCGUCGCGGGCCCAACGAGCCGCCCACGUGGUCAGGACGUUCCGCACCCGUCUCCGGUUCGCCGGCAAGAUCAUGGAGUUCAAGGGCCGCGUGCAGGAGGCCCGCCAACGGGUGCUGAGUAGUAGUAGUAGUAGCGCUGAUGAGCCCUCGAGGAGCGCCAACCUCCAGGAGGCCGCGCGGGGUUCUUCUUCUGGUCCCGUGGGCAUCGCGGAGGCCACCAGCGAGCUUCGUGCGCUGCUAGACGUCCGACCAAACGGAGACGGUGAAGCGAAGCAGCGCACCAGCAACACCUCGGCGCGGCUGCGGGUGGUCGCCGUGGUGGGCUUCGGUGGCUCCGGGAAGACCACCCUUGCGAGGGCAGUCUACGACAGCGUCCUCAAGGAAGGGACGCUCCCCUGUGCUUGGGUGGACGGGCACUCUCUCGAUGAUCAUAAGGAUGCCAGCGCCGGUGGGAUCAUCAAUCGUAUAUGCGAUCAGCUUCGUUUCCGGGAACAGUGCUGCUCCGCGACAUGCCCCCUGAACUGGAAUACCUCAACCACAGGGAAAACAGGCUGUAGUAUUUUGGAGAGCUUUGAGCGGAGGGCGCAAAGCUUUCAACACUUGGGUCAAGCGGAAGGUGUACGUGAAGCUCUCGGUAUUCGAGUCGAGAGGAGUGUGCGAAACUCCGAACUCUCGACUCCUUCCGACGGUACAAUUGCAAGGCGUUUCAUCGUUAUUGACGACAUUAAGACGGAGCACAUGAAGCAGUGGGAUGACGUGAGGAAUGCAUUCAAGGAUAAUGACCGAAUACUAGUGACGACGGCCACUCAGUCCGUAGCUAAUAGAUGCAGCAAUCACCCCCACCAAAAUAAGGAGACCUUUGGUUAUGUGUACAACAUGAGGCCUCUUGGAAAAGACGACUCUAUGAAAAUAGCUCUCCUUGGAAGAUGCACACCUGAGCUGAAGCAGGGUGCCGAGAAGCUCCUGACCAAAUGUGGUGGCCUCCCGCUUGCUCUUCACAGCGUUGCCUGCCGGUUGAGCGACGAAAGCGUACCCACAGGUGAAUUCUGCAGCAAACUGUGCCAGGACCUGGGUGCUUACCUAGAUAGCCAAGACGUCGACGAGCCUAACUUUGCAAGGCUUCGAGGUGUGCUCAGGGAAAACUACACCGGUCUAUCCAAUCACACUGUCAGGACCUGCUUGUUGUAUCUAGGCAUCUUCCCAAUGGAUCGUCCCCUCAAGAGGAGCGUCAUAAUGCAAACAAGGACAAGUCCUGCAGAACCCAUGGCAUCAUGCACGUGUUCAUGCUGCACAAGUCCAUGUCCGAGAAAUUCAUCAUGCCCUUUGCGUUUGGUGCUCAGCACAAGAAAGCCCGUCACCUCUUCAUCCAUGCCAGCAGCAACGGCGCAGACUCCAGAAUAACCACGCCGCACGACAUCGAUUUAUCCCGUGUCCGGUCCCUGACAGUCUCAGGGGAUGCAGGUGACGCUAUUUCUCAUCUCCACAAGUACAAGAUUACUAGAGUAUUGGACCUGGAAGGAUGCAGUGAUGUCAAGGACUGCCAUGUACAACACAUAUGCAGGAUAUGGAAUCUGAGGUACCUAAGCCUCGGCCCAAACAUCACCAAGAUUCCCAAGCAAAUAGCACGGCUGAAGCUGCUGGAGACACUUGAUGUAAGCAAAACAAAAGUGACUCUGCUGCCAGUGGAAGCUAUCGGUCUGCCCUGUUUGGUUCAUCUGAUUGGGAAGUUUAAGCUUCAGGGUCCAGUCAAGACAGAGAGAUUGCCAAAGGAAUCCAUGCUGGAGACCUUAUCGGGGUUUAUCGCCGACAAGGAUCAGGGAUUCUUGCAACUUAUCGGCCACAUGAAGAAGCUGAACAAGGUCAAGAUAUGGUGUGAGUGUGACCCUGAAGAAGCUAAACAUGGUGAGGUGAUCCGGAAGUACAUCGAGGCACCUAUGGUUGUGGAGGACAACGCUCGCUCCUUGUCCCUUGACUUCCAAGGUCCCCUGACUACUGCUCUGGACCAAGUAUGCAAGAAGAGCCAGGAGGCAGGAAACACGUAUCAUCUCAGCUCGCUCAAGAUACUCACCCACGGCAGCACCACCAGCAGCUCACCCACAGUGCUGCACAGGUUCAUCGCCCUGUUUCGCGACCUCACCAAGCUAUGCCUCUCGACCAGCACCCUCACGCAUGGGCUCCAGUCAGCCCUUGGCGACAUGCGUUGCUUGCUCUACCUCAAGCUGGUGGUUGCCAACAACAUCGACGGCAGCGGCGGUCUCAUCAUAGGAGGCAGCAAGUUCGGAAGCCUGCUGCGGCUAUGCCUUGUGCUGAAAGCAAUGGAACCGCCGCCUGCGCCUGUCUUGACGAUCCAAGACGGAGCCCGCCCGGAAAUCGUCUCGCUUCGGCUGAUCUGCGAGCAUCUGGUUGGUCUUUCCGGCGUCGACAUCACGCGCCUCCCGGAGCUUAAGGAAGUUGCUCUCCAUCCAGGUGUGGCUGAAGAAACGAGGCAAGCGUGGGAAGCAGAGGCCAGGAGCCACCCUAAUAUGCCAAAUGUUCUGGCCAUUGCUGCAAAUGACCCUGAGGAAAAAAGCAUCAUCAUCCAAGGAGAAAAUGGCAACGAAUCUAGAAACCAGAGACAUAGACUUUUACGUGGAAACCUUUGCGGGAAGACGCACAAAGACGCAGAUUCACAAUGAUGCCCUGUUCGCACGAACAGUGUGCACACACAACUGUAUUUUCCAGUGCCUAUUUUAGCUAGUAUUAAGUAGGAUGAAAAGAUAACUAUUUUAGCUGUUCUAACAAGGGCAAUCUCCUUCCAGUGUUUUCUAAGCUACUUUUGAUUGAGAGUUCA